rnacentral:rRNA from 1 species
AUGAACGCUGGCGGCGUGCCUAAUACAUGCAAGUCGAGCGAACGGACGAGAAGCUUGCUUCUCUGAUGUUAGCGGCGGACGGGUGAGUAACACGUGGAUAACCUACCUAUAAGACUGGGAUAACUUCGGGAAACCGUAGCUAAUACCGGAUAAUAUUUUGAACCGCAUGGUUCAAAAGUGAAAGACGGUCUUGCUGUCACUUAUAGAUGGAUACGCGCUGCAUUAGCUAGUUGGUAAGGUAACGGCUUACCAAGGCAACGAUGCAUAGCCGACCUGAGAGGGUGAUCGGCCACACUGGAACUGAGACACGGUCCAGACUCCUACGGGAGGCAGCAGUAGGGAAUCUUCCGCAAUGGGCGAAAGCCUGACGGAGCAACGCCGCGUGAGUGAUGAAGGUCUUCGGAUCGUAAAACUCUGUUAUUAGGGAAGAACAUAUGUGUAAGUAACUGUGCACAUCUUGACGGUACCUAAUCAGAAAGCCACGGCUAACUACGUG